rnacentral:lncRNA from 1 species
CCGAGGUAGAAUUUCUUCAAUCUGUAGAGAUGGGAUUAAACCCGUGAGUUGAAAAACUCAAUAGGUGUCAUAGGUGCAUUCGGGAUCAAGCUAUACAUUUCAAAACAAUAACUUUAUAACUUUUCAUACAUGCCGUAUCCAGAGGCACCAUUUGACAUGAAGGGGUAUGUCGUACCCGAGGGCACCAUUUGACAUACGAACAUUUCUUCAACAUAGAGGGGUAUGCCGUAUCGGAGUACCAUUUGACAUACAACCAUUAACAUAGAGGGAUAUGUCGUACCGGAGUACCAUUUGACAUACAAACAUUAACAUGAAUUGAAACUUAUAACUUAACACGAUUAAACACAUUGCAGCUCUACCUACCUUAAUUGAUGCUUUUGAAACAUUGAAAACUUGGAUUGAAAACUUCGAUGAAACUUGGACGUUGAAAGAAAUGCACUCCUUGGAUGUUUGAAAACCAUUGAGAAUUGAUACUUGAAAACACUUCUUAAACUUCUAAGAAAAAUAGUUUUCCUCCCUCUCUUUUUCUCUCUUGGAAACUCUUUCUUUAUUAUGUAAAAGCUCUUGCUUUUGGUGUGAGAAAAAAUGAGUAAAAUGAAGUCUCUAUUUAUAGGCAAAUAUCCCAUAACUUAAAGCAAAUGAAGGGUCAAAUUUCAUUUAAGAGAGAAAACAUGGGUGUUAUUUAAGUUUGAGGUUAAAUGCUUCAAUUUAGUGGGGUUUUUAUUGCCAAAAACGUGGGUGGCCCUUUGAGAAAAUAAUUGAUGAAAAUAAAUAUUUAAAUUCUAGAGAAACACGAGAAUUUUCAUUUCAGGCAGUUUCGGUCGACCGAUUGUAGUCCGGUUGACACUGUAUAGCCUUCAGUGUUUCUAUCAUAACUUCUUCUCCCGAUAUCUGAUUAAGGUAAUUCAAAGUGCAUUGGAAAGUUAACUCAAAGGGCAAAAACUUUUAUUUAGAUAUCAUUUUCCAAAUCAAAUGUUUCCUAUUUCGAAAAUGGGUCUCAAAUGAGACUAAAAAUGUAAAGUAUACUUUAGUCAUCCAAUAUUCAUGUCUUAGUGCCACUAAGGUGUCUAGAAUUAUUUGGGGGUUCUACAUCCCCCACACCUUAAUUAAAAUUUCAUCCUCAAAAUUUAUCUUCUGAUUAAGCGAAUAGUGUUGGAUACUUAUUUUUGGCUUCUUCUUCUUUUUCCCAAGUGGCUUCUUCUAUGCCAUGAUGAUUCCACUGUAUCUUAACCAGCUGAAUCUCUUUAUUCCUUAGUUUAUGCACUUUUCAAUCUAAUAUCUUGAUCGGUAGUUCCUCGUACGAUAAAUCUUUCUGUACCUCCAUGGUUUGAUAACUCACUACAUGAUUAGGAUCAUGUACAUACUUCUUUAUCAUCGAUAUAUGGAACACAUUGUGCAUUGCUGAUAAUUCAGGUGGCAAAGCUAGUCGGUAAGCCACAUUUCCGACUCUAUCAAGUAUCUCGAAAGGUCCAAAUGCCAGGUUCGUAGCUUGCCUUUCUUUCCAAAUCUAAGUACACCUUUCAUUGGUGCUACUUUCAGAAACACUUUAUCCCCAACUUGGAAUUCUAAAUCCUUCUUUCUUGUAUCUGCAUAGCUCUUUUAUCGAUCCUGUGCUGCCUUUAUUCUUGCAAGGAUCUUAUCGAUUACCUUGACCAUCCUUUCAACCAUUUCUGGUCCUAAAACUCUCUUCUCUCCGACUUCAUCCCAAUGAACAGGGGAUCUACAUAUUCUACCAUAGAGAGCUUCGUAUGGUGCCAUUCCAAUAGUUGCUUGGAAAUUGUUAUUAUAAGCGAACUCUACUAGAGGUAAGUAUGACUCCUAAUUACCUCCUAGAUCCAAAACACAUGUUCUCAGCAUGUCUUCCAAAGUUUGGAUGGUCCUUUCAGACUGACCAUCGAACUGAGGGUGAUAUGAUGUACUAAAGUUCAGCUUCGUCCCCAUAGCUCCUUGUAGACUUUUCCAAAAUUUGGACGUGAACCUUGGGUCUCUGUCAGACACAAUGGAUACAGGUACACCGUGUAAUCUCACAACCUCUUUAAUGCACAACUAUGCCAAUUGAUCUAAAUUGAAUGUCAUUUUCACUGAAAGAAAAUGAGCUGACUUUGUUAGUCGAUCCACUACUACCCAUAUAGCAUUAUUUCCUCUUGCUGACUUCGGGAAUCCAACCACAAUGUCCAUCGUGAUAUUUUCCCAUUUCCAUUCAGGUAUAUCUAGUGGAUUUAACAAUCCAGCUAGUUUUUGGUGUUCUGCCUUAACCUGUUGACAUACCAUGUAGUUCUGCACGUAUAGCCCUAUACUUCUUUUCAUAUUUCUCCACCAAAAUGUAUCUCAAAGAUCUCGAUACAUUUUCAUACCACCGGGAUGUGCGGUGUACGGGGUGGAAUGAGCUUCUUUCAAUAUCUCGUUUCUCAAGGCUUCAUCCUUAGGCAUGCAAAUUCUUCCUCUAAAUAUCAGUGCCUGAUCCUCAGCUAUUCCAAAGUCCUUUUUUCUUAUCGGUACCAACUUCAUUCUUAAUCUUCUGCAAAAAUGAGUCUUUAUUUUGUGCUUCUAUAAUUCGAUCUCUAAGAGUAGGUCGAAUUAUUAAAGCUGCUAGACGAGCAAUGACUUGUCCUGGUGUGGUAACCACUUCGAUCUACAACUUUUCCAAGUCCUUGACUAACUCCACUUGAGAGGUGGGUAGUGACGUCAAUUGUCCCAUUGAUUUUCUACUUAGAGCGUCGGCCACAACAUUAGCCUUACCCGGAUGGUAGUGAAUAGUGCAGUCGUAAUCGUUCACCAUUCCAACCAUCAUCUUUGUCGCAUAUUCAAUUCCUUCUGUGUGAAGAAAUACUUGAGACUUUUGUAAUCUGUGUAGAUAUCACACUUCCGUCCAUACAAGUAGUGUCGCCAUAUCUUCAAAGCGUGUACUACCGCUGCAAGUUCUAAAUCAUGCGUCGGGUAGUUCUACUCAUGUUUCUUCAAUUGUCUUGAAGCAUAGGCUAUCACUUUUCCAUUCUGCAUUAGUACACAUCCCAAUCCUCGCUUGGAUGUGUCGCUGUAUAUAACAAACCCUUUCGUACCUUCAGGUAUUGUUAAUACAGGUGCUGAUAUCAACUUCUGCUUAAGUUCUUGGAAACUUUGUUCGCAUUUUUCCGUCCAUUGGAAUUUUACUCCCUUCCUUGUAAGCUGCGUCAUUGGUCCAGCUAUUUUGGAGAAUCCUUCUAUGAAUCUCCUAUAAUAUCCAGCCAAUCCUAGAAACUUCGUACUUCGCCAGCAUUUGUUGGUGUUUUCCAAUUGGUUACUGCUUCUACUUUUGCUGGAUCUACUUCAAUCCCUUGGGCAGUAACUACAUGUCCAAGAAAUCCAACUCGUUCAAGCCAAAACUCACACUUCUUGAAUUUGGCAAAUAGCUUCUCCUUGCGUAAUACCUCUAAGGCUAUUCUCAACUGCUCUUCAUGUUUCUCCUUACUCUUGGAAUAUAUCAGAAUGUCAUCGAUGAAGACUAUGACAAACUUAUCCAAGUAUUGAUGAAACACUCGAUUCAUCAGGUCCAUGAACACUAGAGGUGCAUUGGUUGGCCCAAACGGCAUCACCGUAAACUCGUAGUGUCCAUAUCGAGUUCUAAAAGCUAUCAUAGGUAUAUCCUUUGUCUCUACUUUCAGUUGAUGGUAUCCCGAUCGUAAGUCGAUCUUGGAAAAUACCUUAGCUCCUUUCAAUUGAUCUAACAGAUCCUCGAUCCUCGGGAGUGGGUACUUAUUCUUGAUGGUUAAUCGAUUUAUCUCCCUAUAAUCGAUGCACAUCCUCAUGCUUCCAUCUUUCUUCUUUACAAACAACACCGACGCAUCCCAUGGAGAUACGCUUGGUUGUAUGAAGCCCAUAUCUAGGAGUUCUUGCAACUACUUCUUUAAUUCUUGUAGUUCCUUUGGGGCCAUUCGGUAUGGGGCCUUAGAUACUGGUACCGCCUCGGGAAUUAGGUCUAUGGUGAAUUCCACUUGUCUAUCGGGUGGAAUACCAGAUAGAUCUUUUGGAAACACAUCUACGAAUUCCCAUACUACUGGUACAUCUUCAACCCUUAUCGUCUCUUGUUUCCCUCUUGAGAUACUUACUAGAUAUCCUUGACAUGUUUCUUUUCUCAACAUCUUCUCAGCUUGUAAAGUCGAUACUAGUUGAAUAAGGGGUUUCGUCUUCAUUCCAAGGAAUGAAAAUGGUUCCUCUCCUGAUUUCUGAAAUGAUACUUCCAUUUCCUUACAUCGGAUGGUGGCGUAAUUACAACCUAACCAAUCCAUGCCUAGUAUUACAUUAAAAUCCUUUAUUUCUAUCAUGUAUAGGUUCGCUUCCAUUGGUUUUCCCUCAACUUCGAUACUUACUGACUUGGCUAUUCUAUCAGUAUUCAAAGGGUUGCCCGAAGGAAUACUAACUUCUAAUGUACCUUCUUAUCUUUCGUAUCCACUAGAUGUGGAGCAUACCUUGAAAGUUGAUCAAACUUCCUCUCAUACUUAGUCAGGGACAUAGUCUUUUGCUUGAGUUGGAGGAAUUCACUUUCUUUAUGAUCUCUCAAGGACUGAGGAAAUUACUUGUCCAUUACUUUCCCUUUGAAUUGCUCCCUAGUCAAUUUUGCUUGUUGCUCAGGGGUCCUUGUCCUUGACAUUGAGUCCCACCAGUGACUUGCAUCACUGGAGAACACAAACUCAGCACACUAGACUUUCUGAGCAUUCGUGUACCCUAUCAAUCGGAAUAUACACUCCAACUUGCAAAGCCACUCCUUGACUACAAGUGGAUCAGCUGCUUCGUUGAAGGUAGGGGGCUUGUGCCUUCGAAAUUGCUCGACCACUGAAGCAUGGUUUGGAACAUUAGGAGCUAGUGGUAGGGGUUGAGCUUGGUUCGAGUUUGCCUGCAUAGGUCUUGAACCGCUCGGAGGAGGUCUCUUAUCAAGUUUUGGUUUGCGCGGGCCAUUUCCUUUAGACAAAACAUAUGGUUCUUAUUAGUUUCAUUCUUCGAAUACUAAAGCAAAGAAGAUAGUAUUUUAUUUCUUGACAUAGGGGAAGCUAUUACAAGGAUUUAAAUCUAAUCCCUAUAAGUUCUACGGAUCUUCUUUGGUGGAGCUUCAUCUUCGGAGGAGUCUUCCGCCUCAGGUCCGGACUCUAUGUCCAUCUCAACCUGUGGCUCAGGCUCAGGCUCAGGAUCAUUCUCUAAAUCAUCCUCGGGUUCUUCUUUGGGAUCUUCUUCCUCAGCCAAAGGUUCCUCCUCAGGCUCCUCAUGGAUUACAUCGUCCCACAAAUCAAUCAGGGCAUGGCAAUACCUCUCAAACUCGAACAGGUUUGGGUUGCCUUCUAACAUUUCAUCCAUAACCGUGACUCCCAUAUCUCCCCAUUGAGGUGGGAGGGAGUGUAUGAGGUUAUUUAUGGCCUCAAUAUGCAUGAUCUCCAUACUAGCAUUAACCGUCGUCAUGCAUCUCUCAUAGAUGUCAUACACAUGUUCGCUAAGUGGUCGGGUCGGAUCAGUUACAUAGUUUUCAUAGGAAUGGAUAGCAAUUCUACAGUUCAAUGCUUCUUUAUAUGCCCUAGCCAUUCUACGAGCCAUAUCUAUUACAUUUUCACAUACAUCAUACUUUUUCUUUGCUUAAAGAAAACAUGCAAAUAUUUAAACUUUCAUAUAAUGCAAUUCCCUUUAAGCCCUUAGCUUUUGCCCAAGUCGAUUACAUAUCUUUAAAUAACACAUCUCUAAAUCAUAUCAAAGCAUCAUAACAUAAACAUAAACAUUAACUUCGAACAUGAACAAACCCGGGCCAUAGGAUGAGAUUGAUGGAUGGAUGCACGAUGCCAUGGAAUACCUUAAACUUUUCAUUUGCUUUUUGUUUUUAAAAAAAACAUACUUAGUCUAUAGAACCGGCUAAACCUUGCUCUGAUACCAUGCUGUAAUGCCCCGACCCCUAGUGGAUCGGAACACUACUUACUUUACUUAGCUUAACCGGUGGUUUAGUAACAAGUGUAUACGUUUUAGCGGAAGCUUACAUCUUCGGAUAAUAAUUUAAAUAACAAUACUUCAAAUACUUGAAAAAAAAUACUGAAUCAUUUUUCAAAAUAACAAAAUGUAAUUUAUUUGAAGUAAACAUAACUUGUUCUCGCAUUCUACAUUUUUCAAAACUUUAAAGAAAUAACAUUGGAAAACAUUUCAUAAAAAUAAAUCCAAAUCUCUUAUUCACCGGAUUUCCAUGGGCUCGUUGCAUCACUCUCCAUCUUCUCCUCCAUCCAUGCCCGAGGUAGAAUUUCUUCAAUUUGUAGAGAUGGGAUUAAACCCGUGAGUUGAAAAACUCAAUAGGUGUCAUAGGUGCAUUCGUGAUCAAGCUAUACAUUUCAAAACAUUAACUUUAUAACUUUUCAUACAUGCCGUAUCCAGAGGCACCAUUUGACAUGAAGGGGUAUGUCGUACCCGAGGGCACCAUUUGACAUACAAACAUUUCUUAAACAUAGAGGGGUAUGCUGUAUCGGAGUACCAUUUGAUAUACAACCAUUAACAUAGAGGGAUAUGCCAUACUGGAGUACCAUUUGACAUACAAACAUUAAUAUGAAUCAAAACUUACAACUUAACACGAUUAAACACAUUGCACCUCUACCUACCUUGAUUGAUGCUUUUGAAA